rnacentral:lncRNA from 1 species
AUGCAUGUUAACAUUAGAAGCCUCCACCCUAAGUUUGUUUUAUUCACUGCUUUAGCACACUCCGCCAAUCCGGAUGUCCUAGCCGUGUCUGAAUCCUGGUUUAGGAACACCACCAAAAAUCCUGAAAUUUCCAUCCCUAACUAUAACAUUUUCCGACAAGAUAGAACUGCCAAAGGGAGCGGUGUUGCAAUCUACUGCAGAGAUAACCUGCAGAGUUUUGUCAAACUACCCAGGUCUGUACCCAAACAAUUGGAGCUUCUACUUCUAAAAAUCCACCUUUCCAGAAACAAGUCUCUCACUGUUCCCACUUGCUAUAGACCACCUUCUGCCCCCAGCUGUGCCCUGGACACCAUAAGUGAAUUGAUUGCCCACCAUCUAUCUUCAGAGCUCGUGCUGCUAGGUGACCUAAACUAUGACAUGCUUAACACCCCGGCCAUCCUACAAUCUAAGCUUGAUGCCCUCAAUCUCACACAAAUUAUCAAUGAACCCACCAGGUACAACCCCAAAUCUGUAAACAAAGGCACCCUCAUAGAUAUCAUCCUAACCAACCUGCCCUCCAAAUACACCUCUGCUGUUUUCAACCAAGAUCUCAGCGAUCACUGCCUCAUUGCCUGCAUCCAUAAUGAGUCUCCGGUCAAACAACCACCCCUCAUCACUGUCAAAUGCUCCCUAAAACACUUCAGCGAGCAGGCCUUUCUAAUCGACCUGGCCCGGGUAUCCUGGAAGGAUAUCGACCUCAUCCCGUCAGUAGAGGAUGCCUGGUUAUUCUUUAAAUGUGCCUUCCUCACCGUCUUAAAAAUGCAUGCCCCAUUCAAAAAAUGUAGAACCAGGAACAGAUAUAGCCCUUGGCUCUCUCCAGACCUGACUGCCCUUGACCAGCACAAAAACAUCCUGUGGCGUUCUGCAUUAGCAUGGAAUUGCCCCCGUGAUAGGCAACUUGUCAGGGAAGUUAGGAACAAAUGUACACAGGCAGUUACGAAAGAUAUAUUUUUCAAGAAGAAAUUUGCAUCCUGUAGCACUAAUUGCAAAAAAGUUCUGGGACACUGUAAAGUCCACGGAGAAUAA